UUCCAGAUUUCCAAAAGGUUAGAGAGACAGGCCGGCGUGUGGGCACCCUUCCCCAGAGGACCGCCUCUGAGCGCCACCUGGCCUGCGGGUCCUCAGGCCUCCCAGGACCCUGGCCCCGGCAGGCGCCUCUGAGGCGCACCCGUCUUCCCGUCACAGUUUGUCCCUCGGGCCCGGCUGGCCUGCGUGUUCUCACUACACUGAGGUGAUGCCGUCCUGCCAAGAAAACCGCAGAAGUGACCCUGCACCUUCUCGGGGCGUCAGGUGGCGGGGGUAGGGCCGUGGGGACCACGCCGACCCCUCACUGCUGAGCAGGUGCCUGCAGGGCGGCCUCCAGACCAGCGAAGCUGCUGCACAGCACAUGCCCCCAUCCCAGGCCACCGACACUCCCGGGCUUGCAGGUGGCGUCUCCUGCCCCCAGGCUGGCGGGAACCCAGAGGGGCUGCCCUUCCCGCACCGAGGCUCUUAGUUACUCGCUUCCAUCAGCACGGACUCCUGGACAGGAGUUUAUUUUGUGGGCUAUACCCCGUUUCCGCCACUUAUUCUGUGCCAAUGGGAGCUCCGAGACCUGUUCUUCAAGAAGCCCCGUCACGUUUCAGCCAUUCCUUCCCCCACCCCUUUUUUUUUUGGUGGGGGGGUCUUUUGUCUUUUAGGGCGGCACCUAUGCCAUGGGUGCGGCCCUAAAAAAAAUGAAAAGAAAAUACAAAAUAUGUUCGUGAUUCAGGUAACCAAAAACCAAGACUUUUCAUAAACUAACUAAAAAUACGGAAAAAACGUGCAGCACAAUUGGAAGCGUGAGGCAGAGCACGGCUGAGGAGUGACAGACGGAGUGCUUGGCGCUGAACCACCAACGGGGCAGCGGUGCUAGGUGAGGGGGCCCCUCCGCCCCCGGAAAUGGGACCAGGACUGUCGGGGAGGGCGUGACCCCGUACGGCCUCCACCGAAGGACGCGGACAGCGCCUGGACGCAGCCAAGGAGCAGCGCUUCCCAGAGCCCAGCCUGGUCACCAGGCAGAAGCGGAGCUCGGGCUGGCUGUCCCCACCAGCCAUGGCCGGCCCCUGUCCCAGCGGGGACGACCCGGAUCCUCCCACCACCACCUCCCACUGGCCUCGUCCAGGCAAACAGGCCUCACCCUCGGGCACGGCGCCCUGCUGUGGUUCUGAGCCCACGCGGCGUCACCCCAGACACUCGCUGCAGGUCUGCACACCCGUGACGUCUGUUCUGACGGCGCUCCGGGCAGUGGGCAGCGGGCACGGGCUGCUGCAGCGCUGGCCGGAGGCUCACGAGCAUCCUCAAAGGCCUGGGAGGUCACGUGUGCAAAACGACUGACCCACGGAGACAUUCUGUUUCUCAGCGACAGCAAAUGCGUUCUUGGAACCAACCCAACAUCUAGUUUUACAAAUACGGUCUGAUAUGAACCAGAAAACGAGCCUUGAUCAGACAGAUACUCGGUGCCAGGCGUCACCAUAAAAAAAAUCGAGACGUCAGAUACGUCAAAAGCCCAUUUCCCACUUCUGGGCUCGUCCUCUGUUCUCGUUAAAAAAAGGAGGUGAGGGGCACUUGUGUCUGCGUCCAAGAUACGAAGAGGAACCCGAGUGCUGGGGGACGACUUCCCGACGACCCGUGUGCCCAACGACGACACUGCGACCCUUUCGCAUGUCACACAGAAGACGCGCUGAGACCGCGACACGAACCAGCACCCCCAGGAGCCCGAGCUGACCAGUCACUGGGCGCACGCCACACGGCAGCCACCUCCGCGGGGGCCCGUCACACCCGCGACUUCAGACGCACCCAACGCCGCGGGGUCGGCAGGGCUGUGGCGGGGCGACGGGUUUCCGACAUCCUCGGGAGCGUCGAAGACCAGCUCCUGCCCGGCCACGAGCUGCGUCCUCGGGGAGGGGCGUCCGUUCUGACUUCCAGCGGCAUCUGGCGGGCGCCCCCAGAGCCCCCCCACCCCGAGCCGUGGUACCAACA
rnacentral:lncRNA from 1 species